rnacentral:rRNA from 1 species
AGUUUGAUUAUGGCUCAGAUUGAACGCUGGCGGGAUGCUUUACACAUGCAAGUCGAACGGCAGUACGGACUUCCGGUCUGUGGCGAGUAUGAACGUGAGUAAUGUAUCGGAACGUGCCUGGGUAGCGGUGAUAACUAUGCGAAAGCGUAGCUAAUACCGCAUACGCCCUUCGGGGGAAAGCGGGGACCUUUCGGCCCGCACUAUUAGAGCGGCCGAUAUCGGAUUAUUAGUUGGUGGGGUAACGGCUCACUAAGGCGACGAUCCGUAGCUGGUUUGAGAGGACGACCAGCCACAUCAGACUGGAGAUGACGGCCCAGACUCCUACGGGAGGCAGCAGUGGGAAUUUUGGACAAUGGGGAAACCCUGAUCCAGCCAUCCCGCGUGUGCGAUGAAGGCUCUCGGGUUAAAAAGCACCUUUGGCAGGAAAGAAACGGCACGGGGAUAAUACCCCGUGCAACUGACGGUACCUGCAGAAUAAGCACCGGCUAACUAUGCCAGCAGCCGCGGUAAUUACAGGUGCGUAAGCGUUAAUCGGAAUUACUGGGCGUAAAAGCGGUGCGAGCGGUUCGGAAAGAAAGAUGAAAUCCAGAGCUAGAACUUUGAACUGCAUUUUUAACCUCACUGAGCUAGAGUGUGUCAGAGGGAGGUGGAAUUCCAUGUAGCAGUGAAAUGCGUAGAUAUGUGAGGAACACCUGAUGGCGAAGGCAGCUCUCCCGGAUGUAACACUGACGCUCAUGCACGAAAGUGGGGAGAAACAGGAUUAGAUACUCCGGUAGUCCACGCCCUAAACGAUGUCAACUAGCUGUUGGGGCCUUCGGGCCUUGGUAGCAGCUAACGGCGUAGUUAAUCACCGGGGAGUACGGUCGCAAGAUUAAAACUCAAAAGGAAUUGACGGGACCCGCACAAGCAGUAUGAUGGAUUAAUUCGAUGCAACGCGAAAACCUUACCUACCCUGACAUGUCUGAAUCCCGAAGAGAUUUUGGGGAGUGCUCGCAAGAGAACCGGAACACAGGUGCUGCAUGGCUGCUGUCAGCUCGUGUCGAGAUGUUGGGUUAAGUCCUGCAACGAGCGCAACCCUGUCAUUAGUUGCUACGAAAGGGCAUCAAUGAGACUGCCGGUGACAAACCGGAGGAAGGUGGGAUGACGUCAAGUCCUCAUGGCCCCGGUGGAAGCCUACACGUCAUACAAUGGUCGGGACAGAGGGUCGCCAACCCGCGGAGGGGGAGCUAAUCCCAGAAACCCGAUCGUAGUCCGAUCGCAGUCUGCAACUCGACUGCGUGAAGUCGGAUCGCUAGUAAUCGCGGAUCAGCAUGUCGCGGUGAAUACGUUCCCGGGUCUUGUACACACCGCCCGUCACACCAGGAGUGGGUUUUACUGAAGUAGUUAGCCUAACCGUAAGGAGGGCAGGAUUACCACGGUAGGAUUCAUGACUGGGGAGAAGUCGUAACAAGGUAG